ensembl:snoRNA
UGGAUCAAUGAAGACCACUCAUGAUGUAUGAUUCAGGGAUCAUGACUACAGUCUAGGAGUCUGAGGGUCAC